GAUUGAGAGUUUGAUCCUGGCUCAGGACGAACGCUGGCGGCGUGCCUAAUGCAUGCAAGUCGAGCGGGCUACAGUCUUCGGACUGUAGCUUAGCGGCGAACGGGUGAGUAACACGUAGGUGAUCUACCCUUCAGAGGAGGACAACCUCAGGAAACUGAGGCUAAACCUUCAUACGUUCACUGGUAGGGAUACUGGUGAAGAAAGAGUUACCUUAAAGGUAGCUGCUGAAGGAUGAGCCUGCGGCCCAUCAGGUAGUUGGUGAGGUAACGGCUCACCAAGCCGAAGACGGGUAACCGGUCUGAGAGGAUGUCCGGUCACACUGGGACUGAGACACGGCCCAGACUCCUACGGGAGGCAGCAGCAGGGAAUCUUGGGCAAUGGGCGAAAGCCUGACCCAGCGACGCCGCGUGGAGGAAGAAGUCCUUCGGGGCGUAAACUCCUGGACUGGGGGACGAGGAAGGACGGUACCCCAGUAGAAAGGGACGGCUAACUACGUGCCAGCAGCCGCGGUAAAACGUAGGUCCCGAGCGUUGUUCGGAUUCACUGGGUGUAAAGGGCGCGUAGGUGGUUGUCUGUGUCUCAUGUGAAAACUCAGGGCUCAACUCUGAGAUUGCGUGGGAAACUAGGCAGCUAGAGGACGGUAGAGGGGAGUGGAAUUCCCGGUGUAGCGGUAAAAUGCGUAGAUAUCGGGAGGAACACCGGUGGCGAAAGCGGCUCUCUGGGCCGAUCCUGACGCUGAGGCGCGAAAGCUAGGGGAGCGAACCGGAUUAGAUACCCGGGUAGUCCUAGCCGUAAACGAUGGGUGCUAGGUGUUGGGGGGUAAAGACCCUUCAGUGCCGAAGCCAACGCGAUAAGCAUCCCACCUGGGGAGUACGGCCGCACGUUGAAACUCAAGGAUUUGGCGGGGGUCCGCACAAGCGGCGGAGCAUG
rnacentral:rRNA from 1 species